CAUCAGAUUUUCUGAAUGUUUUUAUUUCUUUUCUUACUUGGAUGGUGGAUCAAAUUAAGACAACCUCAUGGGAAUUGAAUUGGGUUUUGUCUAAAGUUACAGAAGGGAUGAUCUAAUGGAAGCUUUACAUAUUUCAGGAUAUGGGGUUUGGCUGCAAGAUAAUAAAUACUGUGUCAUAUCUGACCAGUCACCACAUGCACUGACAAACCCCAUAGCCUGAAAUAUGUUAGUUUUCAUUACUUUAAUCCUCUUGUCACUUUAGAUGAAACCCAAUUCAAUUUUGGUGAUGCUGCUCUUACUUUCACCAUGGAAGCUCAAUAAAACCUUUGGGCAUCAUCAGCUUGCCUAUUGAGAUGGCAAAGAUGCACGGCAUGGAGUGAUUGCUUGGAUCACUGCCAAGUUACUGUUCGUUGAUAUGAGGGGAUACCCACAGCUAGAGCCCAACACACUAAGAUAAAACGGUGGCAAUGUCUCGUUAUUGAUCAUGAUAUAUAGGAAAGGAUGGAUGAUGAUUCAUCGUGGCCAGAUGGAGCUUUAAAUUUGAAACCUACAGAAGCUUCAUCAGUAUUUUUGGAGGGACUAAUAUUUGCCAGAGAUUUUGGAUUCGUGUCGUGACUCGUAUAAUUGUGGAGGGAGGUGCUGUGGUUAGAAUCCUGUUGGGUGAUUAAUAUUCAUUUACAUUUCUUACUCGUUAUGUGUAAGAUGUUAGUCCAUCUCAUUGCAAAGAAUGUCUGUAUUCUUUCCAGACUAGCCACUUAGGAGGUUCAAAUUAUCGAUAUUCUUGAUAUGAAUUGAAUUUUUUUGAGUGUAUCAAGAGUUUCAGUUGAUCAAAACUUUUUUAUUUUUUUAUUUUUUUGCAUGGAUUUACAUUUGACAGGGGUGUAUGUUGUAAUAAAAGUAUAUUAGUGACUCUACUGAUACAAUAAACUCUGUGUUGGAUAGGGGUGUCAA